UACGUAGGGGGCAAGCGUUGUCCGGAAUCAUUGGGCGUAAAGAGCGUGUAGGCGGCUUGGUAAGUCCGCUGUGAAAGUCCAGGGCUCAACCCUGGAAUGCCGGUGGAAACUGUCAAGCUUGAGUCCGGAAGAGGCGAGUGGAAUUCCUGGUGUAGCGGUGAAAUGCGCAGAUAUCAGGAGGAACACCAAUGGCGAAGGCAGCUCGCUGGGACGGUACUGACGCUGAGACGCGAAAGCGUGGGGAGCGAACGGG
rnacentral:rRNA from 1 species